rnacentral:rRNA from 1 species
UACGGAGGAUGCAAGCGUUAUCCGGAAUGAUUGGGCGCAAAGCGUCCGCAGGUGGCUAUGUAAGUCUGCUGUUAAAGAGUGAGGCUCAACCUCAUAAGAGCAGUGGAAACUACAUGGCUAGAGUGCGUUCGGGGCAGAGGGAAUUCCUGGUGUAGCGGUGAAAUGCGUAGAUAUCAGGAAGAACACCGGUGGCGAAAGCGCUCUGCUAGGCCGCAACUGACACUGAGGGACGAAAGCUAGGGGAGCGAAUGGG